UCAAACCAUCAUAUCUUUCCACUAUGAGCUCCGAUCGUCAUGCCGUUUGCGACUAUGCAACCACCGCGUCGAGCUCCACGAAUCUAUCGGAACAAUUUUAUUGGACUCGAUUAGUUUGAGGAAAACAUUCACUCUUUCUUAUAUGAUACUUAGGUAUACAUGUAUAUUGGAGUUUGAUUUGUGGGUAUUGGAAGCUUGAUUGGAAGCUUGGGAAGCUGAAUUGUGGUAAGGAAGGCUUGUGAGCUUGCCUUGAAGGUUGCCUUGGUUAAUACGUAAAAAUCGGCUAAGGUAUAAUUUAGGUUUUUCGUAUUUAAUAUAUAAUGUCUUGUGAAAAUUCGGGUUAGAUGACCAUAAGAUAGAAAUGAAUGCAUGUGUAUGUUAAAUUGUUUAGUGCCUUGGAAAUAAUUGUGAACUAAGUUGGGAGUUGAUUGUUGUUUGAUAUUAGGGAUGAGGUAUAGAAUAUUAUAUGAUGCUUUAAUGAUGACUGGUAAGGAGUUAAAAUUGAAUAUGUGUAUAUGAUGAAUGGUUGAUGAAUUUGUUAGUUAGUUGAGGAAGGUUAUGUUUGAAAUGGUGUAAUAUCGAGGAAUGGCUGAUUAGGGGGAUGGUGGUGCUAUAAAUGGUUUAUUGUGGUGCUAUUGUAUGAGUAGAAUGUGGUAUUGAAUUUGACUUUUUUGGUAAAAAAAAAGGUUUGAGGAUUUUUGUGAAAAAAUUGAUUUUUGGCCAAAUUUCGGUGAAUCAUAACUUGGCUUUCGGACCUCCAAAUUAUUUCAAACUUAUUUCAAAUGAAAAUUGAAUUCAUGAGGUUUACGACGUUCGAAGAACGGAUGAAAAAUAUUUUAAAACGAAAAAGUUAUGCGCGUCGGAAGUUCGGAG